UUACGUUCAUAUCACGUUGAAACACUGGUUUCCGUACGAUCACCGAAGUUAAGCAACAUCGAGCCUGGUUAAUACCUAGAUGCGUAACCGCUGGGGAAUAUCACGUGAU